GAUGAACGCUAGCGGCAGGCCUAACACAUGCAAGUCGAGGGAGAAGCCCUUUCGGGGGCAGAAACCGGCGCACGGGUGCGUAACGCGUAUGCAACCUACCUUUCACAGGGGGAUAGCCCGAAGAAAUUUGGAUUAAUACCCCAUAAUAUUAUUGGAUGGCAUCAUUUGAUAAUUAAAACUGCGGUGGUGAAAGAUGGGCAUGCGUCUUAUUAGCUAGUUGGAGUGGUAACGGCACCCCAAGGCUACGAUAGGUAGGGGUCCUGAGAGGGAGAUCCCCCACACUGGUACUGAGACAGGGACCAGACUCCUACGGGAGGCAGCAGUGAGGAAUAUUGGUCAAUGGUCGGAAGACUGAACCAGCCAUGCCGCGUGCAGGAAGAAUGCCUUAUGGGUGGUAAACUGCUUUUAUAUGGGAAGAAUAAGGCGUACGUGUACGUUGAUGACGGUACCAUAUGAAUAAGCAUCGGCUAACUCCGUG
rnacentral:rRNA from 1 species